rnacentral:misc_RNA from 1 species
GAUGAAGAACGCAGCGAAAUGCGAUACUUGGUGUGAAUUGCAGAAUCCCGUGAACCAUCGAGUCUUUGAACGCAAGUUGCGCCCGAAGCCAUUAGGCCGAGGGCACGCCUGCCUGGGCGUCACACGUCGUUGCCCCCCCAUCUACUCCUUCGGGAUUGCGGGGGGCGGAUGAUGGCCUCCCGUGCGCCUCGUCGCGCGGUUGGCAUAAAUGCCAAGUCCUCGGCGACACACGCCACGACAAUCGGUGGUUGCGAAACCUCGGUUGCCCGUCGUGUGCGGUCGUCGCGCAUCGAGGGCUCGAAAAAAUUGCCGGGCUCCGGCUCGGCUUUCAACGCGACCCAAGGUCAGGCGGGGUUACCCGCUGAAUUUAAGCAUAUCAAUAAGCGGAGGA